rnacentral:rRNA from 1 species
ACCCGCUGAACUUAAGCAUAUCAAUAAGCGGAGGAAAAGAAACCAACAGGGAUUGCCCUAGUAACGGCGAGUGAAGCGGCAACAGCUCAAAUUUGAAAUCUGGCUUUCGGGCCCGAGUUGUAAUUUGUAGAGGAUACUUUUGAUGCGGUGCCUUCCGAGUUCCCUGGAACGGGACGCCAUAGAGGGUGAGAGCCCCGUCUGGUUGGAUGCCAAAUCUCUGUAAAGUUCCUUCGACGAGUCGAGUAGUUUGGGAAUGCUGCUCUAAAUGGGAGGUAUAUGUCUUCUAAAGCUAAAUAUUGGCCAGAGACCGAUAGCGCACAAGUAGAGUGAUCGAAAGAUGAAAAGUACUUUGAAAAGAGAGUUAAAAAGUACGUGAAAUUGUUGAAAGGGAAGCGUUUAUGACCAGACUUGGACUUGGUUAAUCAUCUGGGGUUCUCUCCAGUGCACUUUUCCAGUUCAGGCCAGCAUCAGUUUUCGCCGGGGGAUAAAGGCAGCGGGAAUGUGGCUCUCUUCGGGGAGUGUUAUAGCCCGCUGUGUAAUACCCUGGUGGGGACUGAGGUUCGCGCUUCUGCAAGGAUGCUGGCGUAAUGGUCAU